GAUUUUUUAUGUGAACAAAAUAAAUCGACGAUGCUGAAUGCCAGAGGGUCGUGCAGUCGCUACGAUUUAUCGGUUUCACAAAGGCGGCACUUCAAAGCGGCGGUGGAUCAAAGGCGAGAUGGCGCGCGGCGGAUAAAGCAGCGUUUGAUAUCCGAUUGUUGAGCCCUUGCCGGCGCUGGGUUGCGGGAAGAAAGUGUCUUUUGUUGCCCUCCCUCGUUAACUACUCGCCAUGUUUUGGAGAAUAAGGCUAAAUCCGGUGCAGCGAGACCGGCUCACCCGGAUGUCCGGGCAGCCGGAUUACGGGCCUAGGCCGGAGGCGCGUGCCGCGGCAAACAACCCGGCGAUUAGUGCUGCCCUACUCAACUCCGUCCGGGACAUGACCCGGAUAAAUUGAAAUGGAUAAGUAGAAACAGUGUUCUAAUUUUUGUUUAUUGGUUUGUUUUAUCGAGACUCUCAGACUAACUACCUUCUA
rnacentral:lncRNA from 1 species